CAAGAUGUAGCUUAACUAUCCAAAGCACCCGGCUUACACCCAG
rnacentral:tRNA from 1 species